CCUACGGGUGGCAGCAGUGAGGAAUAUUGGUCAAUGGCCGAGAGGCUGAACCAGCCAAGUCGCGUGAGGGAAGACGGCCCUACGGGUUGUAAACCUCUUUUGUCGGGGAGCAAAGAGAGUCACGUGUGACUCAUUGAGAGUACCCGAAGAAAAAGCAUCGGCUAACUCCGUGCCAGCAGCCGCGGUAAUACGGAGGAUGCGAGCGUUAUCCGGAUUGAUUGGGUUUAAAGGGUGCGCAGGGGGAGGUGCAAGUCAGCGGUCAAAUGGCGGGGCUCAAACCCGUACUUCCGUUGAAACUGCAUCCCUUGAGUGCGCGAGAAGUAUGCGGAAGGCGUGGUGUAGCGGUGAAAUGCAGAGAUAUCACGCAGAACUCCGAUUGCGAAGGCAGCAUACCGGCGCGCAACUGACGCUCAUGCACGAAAGCGUGGGUAUCGAACAGGAUUAGAUACCCGAGUAGUC
rnacentral:rRNA from 1 species